rnacentral:siRNA from 1 species
UUUUUCAGUGUCAAAGCAUAACA